GAUGAACGCUGGCGGCGUGCCUAAUACAUGCCAGUCGAGCGAACAGACGAGGAGCUUGCUCCUCUGACGUUAGCGGCGGACGGGUGAGUAACACGUGGAUAACCUACCUAUAAGACUGGGAUAACUUCGGGAAACCGGAGCUAAUACCGUAUAACAUGUUGAACCGCAUGGUUCAACAGUGAAAGACGGUCUUGCUGUCACUUAUAGAUGGAUCCGCGCCGCAUUAGCUAGUUGGUAAGGUAACGGCUUACCAAGGCAACGAUGCGUAGCCGACCUGAGAGGGUGAUCGGCCACACUGGAACUGAGACACGGUCCAGACUCCUACGGGAGGCAGCAGUAGGGAAUCUUCCGCAAUGGGCGAAAGCCUGACGGAGCAACGCCGCGUGAGUGAAGAAGGUCUUCGGAUCGUAAAACUCUGUUAUUAGGGAAGAACAAAUGUGUAAGUAACUAUGCACGUCUUGACGGUACCUAAUCAGAAAGCCACGGCUAACUACGUG
rnacentral:rRNA from 1 species